UGGCGGCGUGCCUAACACAUGCAAGUCGAACGGAGCUGCUUUGAUGAAGUUUUCGGAUGGAUUUAAAACAGCUUAGUGGCGGACGGGUGAGUAACGCGUGGGUAACCUGCCUCAUACAGGGGGAUAACAGUUAGAAAUGACUGCUAAUACCGCAUAAGACCACAGCACCGCAUGGUGCGGGGGUAAAAACUCCGGUGGUAUGAGAUGGACCCGCGUCUGAUUAGCUAGUUGGUAAGGUAACGGCUUACCAAGGCGACGAUCAGUAGCCGACCUGAGAGGGUGACCGGCCACAUUGGGACUGAGACACGGCCCAAACUCCUACGGGAGGCAGCAGUGGGGAAUAUUGCACAAUGGGGGAAACCCUGAUGCAGCGACGCCGCGUGAGCGAAGAAGUAUUUCGGUAUGUAAAGUUCUAUCAGCAGGGAAGAAAAUGACGGUACCUGACUAAGAAGCACCGGCUAAAUACGUGCCAGCAGCCGCGGUAAUACGUAUGGUGCAAGCGUUAUCCGGAUUUACUGGGUGUAAAGGGAGCGUAGACGGAUGGGCAAGUCUGAUGUGAAAACCCGGGGCUCAACCCCGGGACUGCAUUGGAAACUGUUCAUCUAGAGUGCUGGAGAGGUAAGUGGAAUUCCCAGUGUAGCGGUGAAAUGCGUAGAUAUUUAGGAGGAACACCAGUGGCGAAGGCCGCUUACUGGACAGUAACUGACGUUGAGGCUCGAAAGCGUGGGGAGCAAACAGGAUUAGAUACCCCUGGUAAUCCCCCCCGUAACGAUGACUACUAGGUGUCGGGUGGCAAAACCAUUCGGGGCCGCAGCAAACGCAAUAAGUAGUGCGCCUGGGGAGUACGUUCGCAAGAAUGAAACUCAAAGGAAUUGACGGGGACCCGCACAAGCGGUGGAGCAUGUGGUUUAAUUCGAAGCAACGCGAAGAACCUUACCUGCUCUUGACAUCCCGCUGACCGGACGAUAAUGCGUCCUUCCCUUCGGGGCAGCGGAGACAGGUGGUGCAUGGUUGUCGUCAGCUCGUGUCGUGAGAUGUUGGGUUAAGUCCCGCAACGAGCGCAACCCCUAUCUUUAGUAGCCAGCGGCCAGGCCGGGCACUCUAGAGAGACUGCCGGGGAUAACCCGGAGGAAGGUGGGGAUGACGUCAAAUCAUCAUGCCCCUUAUGAGCAGGGCUACACACGUGCUACAAUGGCGUAAACAAAGGGAAGCGAGACCGCGAGGUGGAGCAAAUCCCAAAAAUAACGUCUCAGUUCGGAUUGUAGUCUGCAACUCGACUACAUGAAGCUGGAAUCGCUAGUAAUCGCGAAUCAGAAUGUCGCGGUGAAUACGUUCCCGGGUCUUGUACACACCGCCCGUCACACCAUGGGAGUCAGUAACGCCCGAAGUCAGUGACCCAACCGUAAAGAGGGAGCUGCCGAAGGCGGGACCGAUAACUGG
rnacentral:rRNA from 1 species